UACGAAGGGGGCUAGCGUUGCUCGGAAUCACUGGGCGUAAAGCGCACGUAGGCGGCUUCUAAGUCAGGGGUGAAAUCCUGGAGCUCAACUCCAGAACUGCCUUUGAUACUGAGGAGCUUGAGUCCGGGAGAGGUGAGUGGAACUGCGAGUGUAGAGGUGAAAUUCGUAGAUAUUCGCAAGAACACCAGUGGCGAAGGCGGCUCACUGGCCCGGUACUGACGCUGAGGUGCGAAAGCGUGGGGAGCAAACAGGAU
rnacentral:rRNA from 1 species